rfam:Cruoricaptor ignavus strain DSM 25479 genome assembly, contig: Ga0131111_103
UUGGGCGGCCACUGCGGAGGGGCUCACCCGUUCCCAUCCCGAACACGGAAGUUAAGCCCUCCAGCGCCGAUGGUACUGCGAAAGCGGGAGAGUAGGUCGCCGCCAGUC